rnacentral:lncRNA from 1 species
GCAAUUAGUAUAAAAUCAUUUUUUAAAACCCUGUGUUACUUAAGUCAAGAUGGAAUAUGUGAUGGUAGAGUAUGAGUUUCUUAUUCUUGAUAUCAUUGUUGCUUGGAGAAUUUAUUUCAAAAUGUUCAAAUUCCUAGCUACCAUCCUCAGUGUUUUAUAUGCCUGAUAAAACUGAAAUAUUAAAUAUGAUUAUAAAAGCUAUCUGCUCUGUAUUGAGUUUGUUCAAAAUGAGUUAGACCCUUGUUGAGAGAUUUAUCAUGCUCCUAAGAUCAAGACAUUAUUUCAGUAAGAUUCACUCUUCCGAAGUAUUAUUGCAUUAGAGGCAUGGGCUAUGCAAAAAUAGAAGAUAUUUCGAGGAAAUAAAAAGGAGCAAGUGCUCGACAACCUCGCAGAAAAAAUGGACAAGUGUCCGGAAGUAGAAUUAGGGGUACCUCGGUAUCCACUUAAAAAAAAUAAAAAAAAAUGACAGCCCAUGGUCCCUCUAAUAAGCAAUAUGCCAGCAAGAGUUGACAAAGUUUUUAAUUUCCAAAGUCUUUGAUCAAGCAAUAAAUGCAAAGUAAGAAUGCUUAAGAAUUUUUGCAAAUUAAAACAACCUCAGUGAGAUAUAUAUAAAAGAUAAUGAGUGAUCUGAGAGAACCUAUGAGGAUAAAAAGGUAUGCUAACUUUCUUUUAAAAAUAUACAAAAACUCCAAGUGGCAGGAUUGAGAAGAAAGGAUCUUUACUCUUAACCAUAUACAUCCCUGACUAUGGUACACAGUGGAUUUUUAACACCCUGCAAAUAUAAAGAAUGUUUUAAAUGUUUACCCCAGAUAUUUUUCUUAACCAUCCUUUUCUCGAGGACGAGUAAAAUCCUAAGUAUGGGGGUAUUUGUUGACGGUUCUUAAGUAUCAAUUUUAAUUAUCAAAUAAACAAGAGAAAGGACCAAUAUGCAACCAUCACCUAGAAUUAGGGUUUGAUCUGACAGAAUUCCACGAGUUUUGUUGUUUAUCUGUUUCUGCAGGGGGUUAUCAGGAAAUAAGGAAGAAAGGCCCACAUGUCGGGAUUACAUAGAGAUAUCAAAGCACCGCAUAAUUUUACAUCAUCUAGAAGACUCCAGAAGCCACGAGACCGAAGCAGAGGCGAAGCUGGGCCAGGCCCAGGGCGCCCGCCCUGGUAGCCUGGGCGCCCGCCCCCCUGCUGGAGUCAAUUCAGGACUCCUUCGCUCGGGAUAUUCCACCGACUUAUUGGAUCAAGAAAAACAUAGUACCACCUCGGCUAUCGACCCAAAAACGCAUAGAAGGGGAGGACUAUAUAAGCGAGGCUCCCCUGGCCCC